rnacentral:rRNA from 1 species
AACGAACGCUGGCGGCAGGCUUAACACAUGCAAGUCGAACGGGUGUAGCAAUACAUCAGUGGCAGACGGGUGAGUAACACGUGGGAACCUUCCUAGGGGCACGGAACAACUCAGGGAAACUUGAGCUAAUACCGUAUACGUCCGUGAGGAGAAAGAUUUAUCGCCCUUAGACGGGCCCGCGUCGGAUUAGCUAGUUGGUGGGGUAACGGCCUACCAAGGCGACGAUCCGUAGCUGAUCUUAGAGGAUGAUCAGCCACACUGGGACUGAGACACGGCCCAGACUCCUACGGGAGGCAGCAGUGGGGAAUCUUGGACAAUGGGCACAAGCCUGAUCCAGCCAUGCCGCGUGAGUGAAGAAGGUCUUCGGAUUGUAAAGCUCUUUCGCCUGUGACGAUGAUGACGGUAACAGGAGAAGAAGCCCCGGCUAACUUCGUGCCAGCAGCCGCGGUAAGAC